rnacentral:sRNA from 2 species
AUCACUAUCAAUCUAUCUACCACUGCUAAUCUAUACCACUGCCAAUCUAUCUACCACUGCUAAUCUAUACCGCUGCCAAUCUAUCUAUCGCUGCUAAUCUAUCGCUGCUGCUAAUCUAUCUACCACUGCCAAUCUAUCUACCACUGCUAAUCUAUCACUGCUAAUCUAUUGCUGCUAAUCUAUUGCUGCUAAUCUAUCACUGCUAAUCUAUCGCUGCUAAUCUAUCACUGCCAAUCUAUCUACUGCUGCCAAUCUAUCUACCACUGCCAAUCUAUCUACCACUGCCAACCUACCUACCACUGCUAACCUAUCGCUGCUAAUCUAUCGCUGCUAAUCUAUCGCUGCCAACCUACCUACCGCUGCCAACCUAUCUACCACUGCCAACCUACCUACCGCUGCCAACCUACCUACCACUGCUAAUCUAUCACUGCUAAUCUAUCACUGCCAAUCUAUAUAGGGUAAAUCAUGAUCCCAUUUGGUCCCAUUUUGUAAAAUGGGAUCAAAUGGAACUGGGAUCACUAAUUUAUUAGUAAAACAUGAUCUGGGACUAGAUUUAUAAUAUAAACAGUGUAAAGUGACUAAUUUACUAAACACUAUAUGGGAUCAGGACUAAGAUAUCUAAUAAUGGGACUGAGGAAAAAUUUGGUCCCAGUCCCAUGCAUGGUCACACGGCCAGUCUAGGCGGCAGGCACCCUUUGUGGCCAUGCCGUAGCAAGGCGGGGUAGUAGGCAUGGAUUACUACUAGUUAACAAAUAUACAACAACAUUAUCCUUUUACAUAGUGAGCAAUAGAGAUGUGAACAUGUGGUAAAUAAAAAGGCAAAUAAUUCAAAGGUA